AAAAAUAAUAAUCAAAAUUUGGGAUAAAAAUAUCGGAUCUUAAGUUACAUUUUCUUAUCUUAACAAGAAGCUGAUUAUCAUUCUCUGAAUUUUUUUUUUACAUCCUUCGACAUUACAUGGAAUCAAAUAAAGAAGUAAUGAGGGUAAUGGAUGAAGAGUUGAAAAAAACUGCAGGUAGCCACCGAAAAAAAAAAAAAAAAAUGGGACCUCUUUACAAGCGAGGCCUGAAGCGGACACUUCACCCACUUCAUGGUAAAUCCAGCCCCGGUUUUCAUUAUUUAUAUUUAAUUUGAAAUAUUUUUUUGCAAAAUAUGACAAGGCGCAACAUUUAUAACAUCCUCUCCGUUCGUAACAACAUUAAUAACACUGUUAGAGAAAUUCUAUUUGGGAAAUGUAGUAAAUGAAGAAAAUGAGAGUUUCGGUCUAUUAUUAACUUCUUAGCAAUGUCGUCAACCGAAAUGCGAGUCCAGGUGGACGAUGAUGAGUCGGUAUAGAGCCAAACUAGAAAAGACAAACUAUUCUGGUGCCCGUGACUUAGAGCAGCUGUGCACGUUCUUCAACUCGAAUUGAAGUUUAAAAGAAAAGGAAACUAUCAGAAACAUUUGUUUUUUUUCUUCUUCUUUCUUUUUACUUCUUUCCACUCGUUCCCUGUUGACGGUUGUGUCUUUUAAUUAAGCAUCAAUGACAAAUUUCACGCAAGUGUCGACGAUAAAGAUCGCUUAUAUGGGAGUGUCUGGCCUUUUGCCCUAUAACGUAUAACCAUGUUUUUAAAAACGUUCCUUUAGUACCAAACCCUAAAAUGGUUAGCGAGUUAGUAACUUAAAAGAAUUGAGUUACACAUAUGAAAAAAAACGAGAUAUCGAUUAAUUUAAACGUUACCGCAUCGUAUUAAAAACAUAAAAAAUUGAAUAGAAAUGUAAAAUUUUAAACAGUUUUUCACUUAAAAAAUUUAUCUCUGACGUCUUGAUAGACAAAACGCUUUUAUGUCAGCUACCGAAUCUGAGAACUCGACGUCACGAACAUUAUAAAUUAAACCGGUCACGUUUCGCACCUAGAUGAUAAAGAUAUGAAAGUUAGUUUCUUUUUAGAAGAAAGAUAGAAACAAAUCCAGUUUGUUACGCUUUCAUGUGUAAUGGAUCACGAGAAUUACCGAUAUCAUUUUCCACCUGUCUAGAAACGGUUCAGAUUUUAACAGGUGACGGUUUUGUUUUUUUUUUCUUUCUCUCGUCGUGUAGACGUUAACCCCAUAAUUUCUGUAAAUUUGUUAAAGUAAAAUAAAGAAGACGUUCAUUUAAAAUUCUUUUUUUCUUUCUUCUUCUUCUUCUUCUUCUUCCUCUUCUUCUCGAAACUUGUAAGCUGAUAAGAGAAUUGCGAAGACAAAAUCCAUUAAUGGAUAAAGAUAAAAAUUACGAAAAAUUCGAAAGUUAGAUUUAGUUACGCGUGACAAGCGAUAAUUAUUCUCUUGCACAUAUUUUGUAGAAAAUGUUUUUAACAAAAAAAAAAUUGUAUACAUUAUAAAAUUAUUAAGAUUAUAUAAAGAAAAACAAGAAUUUGAAAUCGUUAAGACAUCAGCCUCAUGCUUCGAGUUCUUCGUUAUUAGAGAAGAUAGUUUUGGUUAGUAAAUUUAAUUUUUAUUUUUAUAUUUUUUCAAUACUAUGCCAUAAAUAAUAUCUGGGUUGAGCAAAAAUAAGAUUGAAAUAAGAUAAGAAACUAAUAAAAGUCUGUAACUGAAUAUAAAUUAAGAACCCGAAUAAUGUUAGAAGUACUGUAUAUUUGGGUAAGAUAUCAAGUAUAAUUUCAGUGAUCCAUUUAAAUUAAGUGAAUUAAAUUAAAAUCUAUAUGUUCUGAUUAUCAUACAUGCUUACAGUUUGCUUACGAAUGAAAGUAUAUAAUGACAGUUCAGGCUUAUAUGAAAGAGGGAUAACAGAGCCAUUUUGCUUCAGUUCCAGAGCAAUAAGCAAAUAUAUAUUUGUUAAAUAGAAAUAUAGAAAUAUUUUCUAAAGUAUUACAGUUAAGAACUUGGAAUUAAAAAAAAAUUCUCUUUG
rnacentral:lncRNA from 1 species